rnacentral:tRNA from 1 species
GGGGGUAUAGCUCAGUGGCAGAGCACUUGCCUAAUAUACAUGAAACUCUGGGUUCCAUUCCUAGCAUCACAA